UUAAUAUGUUCUGCCCUUUUUG
rnacentral:siRNA from 1 species